GCCACACACGACCACUUUGACAUCAUUUUAUGUAUUUAAAAGAAAUGUUCAUGAUAUAAUAAUAGUUUUGAUAGCGUAUUCAUUCAAAAAAUGUAUUAUUGCAGGCGUAUAUAUUGCUAUGGAAUGGAGGCAUGAUGAUUGGAUACAAUAUCAUUAUUGGCUUAACCCUUCACAACAUGCUAUUUAGAGUAUAUAAUAUGGCAAACAAAAACAGCGAUUUGAAGGCUAACUGACCGCAGUCAUAUGGCCGAAAACUGGUAAAUGUAAGGACAAUUCUUUAUCAACAAAAACAAACUUAUUUGUAUGGAUGUCCAUUAAACAAAUACUAAUUACAUGAUUUACUUUUCAGAGUCAGUUCCUUCAAGACCGUCUACAAUCACAGAUCGGUUCCAGUGUAACAACGCAUUCUCUUAGAUGUUGAAGCUAGAAGCUAGCUGACAUUUAUCAGGCAUUGGCAUCAACAGGGUAUUGGCUCAGGACCUUAAGGCGAACUCUCAUCACACCCUGCCCUCGGUGUACGGCCAGUCUUACCCUGGUACUCAUAAUUGCCCUGCUCAGGGUCUGCGAUUACUUCAUUCACAAGCCCGAUGAUACAACAAUUGUAACAGAUCUCUCUCUGAUGGCGCACAGCUUUACACGAAGCCAAACCAGCGCUUCAUAUUUAGCUACCAGCAGUAUCCAUGCAACCAAACCUUGAUCACUCAGCAACAGCUAAAUCAGCAGCAGGGAUGGAGUUAGCCGUUUCAACGUCUGCUCAGUUGCCUCUCAGAGGCAGUCGGCUUGCCGUGUUGCUUAGCCAAUCCACUACUUAUGUCGCAGCACAAUAUCUCAUCCGGAUCCAUUCCACUGCUGGCGCAACAGCAGGUCUGUUCUCUGUACAGAGCUGUUUCUAUGACGAUGAAGUCCUACAACUCGCCCCAGUACUCGCUUUUGCGUCAGGGUCAGGUUCAAGGCCUCAUGGGCUUUGGUGGUCUGGGCAAGAUGGGAAUGUUAGACAGCAACAACAACAGUUAAGAAUAGAGCAACAGCAUAAUAGACAGACACAGCAGCCAUGGCCACAACACCAACAAUAGCAGUAACAGAUGAUGGCUUAGCUUCAUCAGCAACAGCAGCAGCAGGAGCAACAAGAUCUUUAAUCAAUGGGCCAUUUAGACGUCACUUUAGAAAUUCAGAAGAUCUUCAUGAAAGAAUAAAUAUGGAUUGCAUGGCAUUGAGUUUGGUUUGGAAGCAGUUACUAUCGCAGAACUCGAGCCAGCAAAGGUCAUCCUCACAGGAAUCCAGUAUCUCAAUGGUGCAGGACCCACAGUCUAUGAAUAUUGUGGAGCUUGAACCUUGGACGCCAAUUGACAAAUCCAAACCGUCCAAUCAGAAACAGAAAGACAGUCUGUUGCAGCGGUUAGUCCAAUCUAGGAUGCUCAGUGAUAAACAUAAAUUAACACUUGCUAGUCUCUAAUUGCCUGCAUUGGCUGUGUUAAAGUCUUGCUGUCCGUUCUGUACACUUACAAUGGAAGCCCUCAUCUUAGAAUUUUGGGAUAGGUUGAAACUCAGUGGCAUUGUGCAGACUAACAUUGCAGAAUGACAAAGAAGUACAAGCCCUGUGACCAGCAAUCAACUAAUGUGGCAAGCUAUGUUGUGUCAUGUGACCAGCCAAGCUGUGCGUAAAGAGAAAACUAUAGUUCGUGUCUUGUGGGAUUUAUGACGCUUUCAGUGAUUUGCUGUUAUAUGUUUUUGUGAUAUAUAUAGUUAAUUAUAAUCAAGUGAAGAUUACUUGUUUAAAGUAAUUAUGUAAAGUAUUCUUUUAAGUUCAAAAGAGUGCAAGCCUGUGUUGCUACUUUGUCUGUAUUCCGAAAGUUUGAUCCAGAUGUUGAUAAAACAUAGAACAUAAACUUAUUUUUUAUUACAUUGAUUUCAAACUUAAGCAAAGUUGUUUAAAUAGUAUUGUUAACUUGAAUAAAUUUUCAAACAUUUAUCGGCUUUUUUCAUGAAAUAAGACAAACUACAGUAUUGUUUUUGCCAGUAAUAUAGUAAGACGUGCUAGUUAAAAGAAAUUGUUAAGAAAGAUUCAUGGACGCUUCUAUUUUGAUUUGCCUGUCUUUGUGUCUGUAUACAAUACUCAUCAGUUUGCACAUUAUAGUGACUUUUUAAACAAGAAUCUUGAGUAGUGUCAGAAAGUUAUAAAAGAAAAAUAUUAAUCAAUUAAGGACAAAAUUAUUUUAUCUUCCGUAAGCUGAUAAUAGACACAAAACCUAAAUUAUCAUCAUUUGAUGGAAGAUUAUUUUAUUUAAAUGAAAUUUGGAAGAUUAUCUUAAUUUGAAUUGUGAUGGAUUGUUAAAUGAUUAGAAAAUAUCUAUUAUUAAGUGGAAUGCUUUUAUAUUUUUUUAACUUAAGAUUUUAAUUUUUCUUUUAGUAAGCAUGCAUCAAGAUGACAUAACUUGUUAGUAAUUGCUCAUGGUAUGAUUUUGUUUAGCUAAUUGUAAAUGACACAAUUUGAAUUAUUACUUUAAUGUUUAUCGUUAGUUUUGAUCUUUGUAUUGGGACACAAUACUUCAUGAUGCUUUGUAUAAACUGUGCAUACUCAUAUAAAAAAACAAAUUUGUAAGUGAGUAAAUGAGUGAAUAAUUUUACCAAGUCAAUAUAUAUUUACAUUGUGCCAUUGUGGAUAUUAAGCAAAACAAAUCAUUUGCUGGUGUCAAUUGUAAAAACAAUCAUUUCGAUCAAUUAACUGUUUUAUGUUAUAAUUUUUUAUGUACAUCUUUUAGAUGCAAGGCAAUAGAAAGAACCUAAAUGGCAAAUAAAAACACUUGAAUACCAUACUUUUUAUCUGUCCAAUAAUAAUUUAAGCAAAUGCUUGAAAAAAUAUUUAAUUAAAAAUAUUAAUAUCUGGAAAAUUUGAUAUCAAUUACAUACAAGGGAGAGCAAUGUGAUGUGGUUUGAAUUUUCAAUAACUGCAAUUGUUAAUAAAUGUUCUAUUAUAACUUUAGAUACAAUUGAAUUCUCAUUGCACCACAAACACUUGUUUAUGUGUUGUAACAGAAUUUAUAUGUAAUCAAAUUUAUUUCUAAAAGAUAUUAAAUUUCAAUGACAAUACAGUGUUGAUAUUUUUGUAAUUCUUAAUUUUAUUAUCACAUGUUCUGAAAAAAUGUCACUUAAAGAUAUACAUGUAUUUUAUACUAUAAUUAUGAUAUAAUACUUGCUAAUUAUUCUAUGCUUGAAAUAUGGCUGAUAUUUAAUUUUGAUAGUUUACCAGUUGUGUUACAGUAUUUUUCACGUUGACCUCUCCACAUCAACCAGGAGUGCAUUCACAGGAGCAAGUUUCAAUAAAUCUCCCAAUUUAAAACUGCAAAAAAUGUCAGAAUUUCCAAAAAAUUUGCUUUUUUAUUCAAGUUGUUUGAAUGGCUGUUUUUGUUCUGUUGUUAAACAAUUAGAAUAGGUUUUAAUAUUUAAACAACAUGUCAUAUUUCAAUCAUAUCAUAUUGAUUGUAACAUAGAAAACAAAAUAAACCUUUUUUGAUUAAUUUGUGUGCGUGUUAAGUAAAAUUAAAUGGUAACCAUACCAGUACAUGUAUACUUAUUAUUAGAAUUUUACAAAAGUGGGAUGCCAUUUUAAAAUCAUGUCUUCAUUUGUUCGUCUUACUCAAAAGUGACCUUUUUCAGUGGAAAGGCUCUGUUGCAUAAAAUGAACUUAAUCAAAAAAGCCCCAAGGCAUUUUUUGAUUGCUUGUGUACCACAUAAUUAUCAGGGAUUUCUUAAUUGACUGCAUGAUUUUUUACACACCAGUUUGACCUUCGUUGAUAUUUUCUUAAUUGUGACCUUAUUGUUAAGAGUAUUUUACUAGUACAUGUUGAAGUAUUUCUGUUAAGUGUAACCGAAUAUUUGAUAAAAUUAUUUAAACAUGUUUAACUGUCUUUGUAAUUAUAUUGAAUAUUUUCUAUAGUAGUUCAUUCAAUUACCAGUGUUUUGUUGAGCCAAAUCACAUUAUAUGAAUCAUGGUGUAGGGUCAACCACUACUAUAAUCAGUGGUUUAUUUGUAGAGGGAUAUAAUCAUGUGUUUGUAUAUUUGUGUACUUGAUAAACCAAGUUUGUUGUUCCAAUGUUGCUAAGGUAUAUAUCUAUCCCUGAAGUUGUCAUAUUAUUGUACCUUGACUCUGUGUUGCUAUCACAAUUGUAAAAAAAUCAAAUUCGUU